rnacentral:rRNA from 1 species
UACGGGGGGGGCUAGCGUUGUUCGGAAUUACUGGGCGUAAAGGGCGCGUAGGCGGCCUACUAAGUCGGACGUGAAAUCCCUCGGCUCAACCGGGGAACUGCGUCCGAUACUGGUGGGCUCGAAUCCGGGGAGAGGGAUGUGGAAUUCCAGGUGUAGCGGUGAAAUGCGUAGAUAUCUGGAGGAACACCGGUGGCGAAGGCGGCAUCCUGGACCGGUAUUGACGCUGAGACGCGAAAGCGUGGGGAGCAAACAGG